CCUACGGGCUGCACCAGUGGGGAAUAUUGGACAAUGGGCGAAAGCCGGAUCCAGCGAUGCCGCGUGUGUGAAGAAGGUCUUCGGAUUGUAAAGCACUUUAGACGGGGACGAUGAUGACGGUGCCCGUAGGAGAAGCCCCGGCUAACUUCGUGCCAGCAGCCGCGGUAAUACGAAGGGGGCUAGCGUUGCUCGGAAUGACUGGGCGUAAAGGGCGCGUAGGCGGUUUAUGCAGUCAGAUGUGAAAUCCCCGGGCUUAACCUGGGAACUGCAUUUGAGACGCAUAGACUAGAGGUCGAGAGAGGGUUGUGGAAUUUCCCAGUGUAGAGGUGAAAUUCGUAGAUAUUGGGAAGAACACCGGUGGCGAAGGCGGCAACCUGGCUCGAUACUGAUGCUGAGGCGCGAAAGCGUGGGGAGCAAACAGGAUUAGAUACCCGAGUAGUU
rnacentral:rRNA from 1 species